AAUGUGGUAACAGGGAUUCUCCUCCAUCCUGGGGUAUCUGGGUGUAGACCUGGUGCAUAUUAAGCACUCAACUAUAUAUUGUGAUAAGAGGGAUAUUGAAACCAAGGAGGAUAAGUGAAUCCUCUAGGUGAGCAAAGCUUCCUGUGAUUGGUUGCAAGCUUCUGUUUUAAUUGUAAAUUCCCCUUUUACUUUUGUUUGAGACAAGAUCUCACUGUGUAGCCAACACUGUCCAUACUCACACUUGGGGCCAUCCUGCCUUAGCCUCCUAAGCAGUGAGCUUACAGGUAUGCGGUCGUCAUACCUGUACAUUUGUGUGCCUUUGACAGAUACAUUCAAAUUUUCUUAGAUCCAAAGAUUAACAGAAACAAAACGUGGUGUUUUUGGGUCAAGGCUGUAUUUGUCUCCUAGAUUGUAUAAAGACUAUUUCCAGCCUUGUCUUUAGGUAAUAAAUCUGCGGACCAUCAGACCAAUGGACAUUGAAGCUAUAGAAGCCAGUGUCAUGAAGACAAAUCAUCUCGUAACUGUGGAAGGAGGCUGGCCACAAUUUGGAGUAGGAGCUGAGAUUUGUGCGAGAAUUAUGGAAGGUAUUUCAAAGAACCUGGUUUUAGAACAUAAUCAAGCUAUAGUGAGCACUCAACACUUGAAUACCAAUGAGAAAGAGAUCAAAAGCUAGAGAUGACCAAGUGACUUUUCAACUUGUCAGUCUAGGGUUUCGUCUUUGGGUAAAUGUUUUAAAAAGUCAGGCCAAAAGUGAGCCCUAUA
rnacentral:lncRNA from 1 species